AUUGAACGCUGGCGGCAUGCCUUACACAUGCAAGUCGAACGGCAGCACGGGUGCUUGUACCUGUUGGCGAGUGGCGAACGGGUGAGUAAUAAAUCGGAACAUGUCCUGUUGUGGGGGAUAGCUCGGCGAAAGCCGGAUUAAUACCGCAUACGAUCCACGGAUGAAAGCGGGGGACCUUCGGUCCUCGCGCUUUAGGGUUGGCCGAUGGCUGAUUAGCUAGUUGGUGGGGUAAAGGCCUACCAAGGCGACGAUCAGUAGCUGGUCUGAGAGGACGACCAGCCACACUGGAACUGAGACACGGCCCAGACUCCUACGGGAGGCAGCAGUGGGGAAUUUUGGACAAUGGGCGAAAGCCUGAUCCAGCAAUGCCGCGUGUAUGAAGAAGGCCUUCGGGUUGUAAAGCACUUUUGGCCGGAAGGAAGUCCUUGACUCUAAUACAGUCGGGGAAUGACGGUACCGGAAGAAUAAGCACCGGCUAACUACGUG
rnacentral:rRNA from 1 species